AGAACUGGGUUUUAAGAUCAGCUCUCACUCAUGACCUGGAGAAUGAAUGAAUGAAUAGUGCUAGGCCUGUGGACAUCAGACACAUGGGCAGUAAAUAACACAGCAAUCCUCUGCCUUCAUGUGUGCCUGCUAAACACAAAAAUCCAUUUUACAUAUGCUUCAAAAGAGAUUAGGUAAAAGCUGUGCAGUCCAGAGUCCUCAAGAGAAAAUAAGGCUCUUCAAUGGGACCAUUUUGGUCUCGUGGAAGUCUUUGUUGUUGCUGUUGUUCCUUUCCUAUUGACCUGAUUAGCCUUCAAGGCUCUAGCAUCAUAAAGGCUUCCUGCAGACAAGACACAACAGCUCCUGCUCUACGCCCACAUGCAGGUUUGUUUGCAGCCCUACAGAGCCUCUCAUAUGGCCUCUGACUGUUGUCCAAUGCAACACAGGGCUGUAUCAGCUGAUAUUUGUUUCUAAACAAACAAAAAGAAACAGAAAGAAAAACUUAUCACCUGUUCCCAGACAUGGUUCCACCCUCUGACAAAUAGACAAGAAGCCCUAGCUGGAGUAACCUUCAAAUUACAUUCCUAGAGUUCCGCAGGCCUCUUUUCACACCACCAUCAUCCCCUCUGAGAAACAGCUUCUGAAGAUGGGCUAGUGUGAAACAGCAACAGAGCGUAGAGAUUCACUUCCCGUGCCAAAUUCUGAUUUGAGCAACACGGAUGCACUUCCAGAGUCACAUCCAUGAAGGUGAAGGUUUUUCUGUUGAGCUACACUCGGAUUCAGCAAGCAGGAAGGAGCCUGCCAGUUUUCAAGGAUGUGUUCUUAGGGUGAUGAAAUUUUACUCAAUAAGCUAAUGACCACAUGCUCACAUUGGGCUUUAACUGGAGGAAGUUUUGUCAUUAGUGCUACUGAAUAGAACAGCUCUCCCAUAUGGGAAAGUCUCUGGCUGUUAUUGAAGAGAUGGCUGUUCACUAAUGCCAGGAGACCAAACCCCACUGCAGCCAUGAGCUGGUAUGCUCAGCCCAACAUCCCUGCAGUGCAGAAUACACCAAGCCACACACAGACACCUGCUGUGGGGAUUCCACCUGUGACCAGUUCUAGGUUUGAUGCCACAGAAAAGCCCAGCAGAAAACCCAAGCUCUCAUUAAACGCCAAAGACAUCUUCCUAGCUGAAGUCUAACACUGAUAACUAUUCUGUGUCCUAGACCUAGGCAGAUACUGUGUUUUAAUACUUCCUGAAGCUGUCUUGCACUCCUAGCCCUAUUAACAGUGCUGUUAACAACAUGCUCUUCCAUUUCAGACCUGCCCGUCCAUAAGGAGUUGUCAUCGUUGUCGUGGUCAAUAAAAGAAAAUACAUAGACAGUCUAGUUCCAAGCAACAAGACAGGAGAAGAAAGAACUUUUAUUGUAACAGAAUACUGACUCUUAUAGCCCUUGGCAUAACAUACAUGUUAAAACUACCGUUGGUGUUUUUUCAUAAACAUACAUCACAAUUGGCUGCCCUGCAUCACACCAUGAUGAUUCAGCAUUUACAGAGUUACGGUGACUUGUUUAGCUCUGUUUUCCUUCCAACAGACCUGCUGUCAACCCUGACAAGGAGUGUCUCAAAAAUCAUCAGAAAUGCCUUUCUACAUCAGACCAGUGGUCAGUCAAGCUCAGGAUGUUUCCAACAGUAGUGCUUUAUGUGACAAUCUGUUUAGAGACUGCAGAUCUGGUCCUACAGCACAGUGCAGAUGAGAGACAAAUAAUUUAGAGUGUAUCAUCUCCUUAAGAUUUUUUGCUAAAUUAGGCAGCCAUGGUGGCAAGACAUUACUGUAUCUACUGUAUUUCGCCUACUGCCCCCACAUUACUUUCUACCUACUUACUCCCCUUUUAGGGUGCUGGUCUUGGGAGACCUUCCCAGUGAAAACAGUAAUAGCUCUCUUACCUUCCCUAUGAAGCUUCAUGUUCUCUUUGUACCCUGGGAACAAGCCCUCAGUGAUGCGGAGAUGGAGCUGUGACCUGUGUUUCACUCUGAACCACUGUGAGGCUGGAGCCUGCUUCUCAUAGCAGGGUGUUCAGGAUAUAGGUCUCAUUCCCAGGAAACUGACAAUUUUGAGGCAGGUUUUUUUUGCACAAGGUCACAGGCAAAGGCAGCAAGGGGAUUUUUCGGGAAACUUGGUCCAGUCCCAGCUGAGGUGUGUUAAUCACACUGGAAUCCAGACAUGUUCACCUACCAGCACAGAACAAAGCCUGGUGACAGUAUUUCUGCAAGCUCUUCCAGUCCACAACACUCAGUGGCAGCAACCAAGCCUGGACACAGUGAAUCUGUGACACCCUGUGCAGCCAUGCCAGGCUAUGUCUCAUAGGACAGGAUGCAUCCUCACAACUAGACCCUGCUAUUACUGUGUAGCCCAGAGCUGUUCACUGCACAAAUGAUGAGACCAGUAGCCUCUCAGUGUGGAUAAUGUGAUACAGGGAUCAGGUUCUUUUGUGAGCUUCCAUCUUCCUAUCACUGCUGUCAACAAGGCGCAGGUUCACCACGUGCUGCCGAUCCAGCAGAAAUGCCUGCUGUUUCUGGCCAGCCCCAGGAAGGCUGAUGGCUCUGCAGUUCAAGUUUGAUGAGAAGGAAAGGCAGGCUGGCUGUGAGCAGGUAUUGCCUUGCUCUAUAUUACACCACUGAAUCACCAAGGUGUUUCAUGCCAAAGCUGCAUAACUUUGGAGGAAAAAAACUUGAUCCAUCUGGAACUCUGCAGGUGGCAGGUUUGGAGAAAAGAGAUGCUUGGCCCCAGUGACCCAUGACUUUAAUUGCCUUGUGUCUCAAGCUGCCUUGGAAAAUGGCAUGUGUUUUUCCUCAGGAAGUUCCUUCAAUGGAGCGGUCCUCCCCUCUUCCUCCCCCCCCAGAGGAGACUGGCUUUAGCUCAGAGCAUGCUCUGAGAUCACCGCCUGGCACAGUGACAGAGUCAUGGGAAAGUUGAACACCAGCCACUUCUGAAGACACAGGGCCAAAUUCAGCCAUGGUGUAAGCAACGAAACUCCCCAGGUUUCAAAAGGAGCGCUUGACACCACGAUAUGUCUGGAGCUAAUCUCUCCCAGUGUGACCAAAUUCUAAAGUUCUGAGUCGUGGCAUCUACAUUACCCACUCCCAGAAAUUUAAUCUCAGCACUACUUAGUCUUUUGAACUCACUGCUCCAGUGUCCUAUGGGGACAUGGGACAGAAUCAUUCAUUUACAUAGGCAUUUUCCCCAACCCACAGUCCAUGCUCACCAUUCCUUAUUCUGCAUCACUUUUUCAUUUCUCUUUCCCCUCAGUCUUAUCUAAAUUCACUCCUUUGACUUCAUCCGCUGCUGUAGUGCUUUCAGUUUCCUUCCCCAAAACACAUGGGUGUGUAGCAUGGCUGUACUAUUUCACAGACACUUGGUUUCCCCAUAUGUUUAGAAUUUCACAAAUGACACUUCAGUAGGUCAAAAAUGUUGAAAUACAGGUAAGCUGCUAUACCCUGUGCA